AUUGAACGCUGGCGGCAGGCUUAACACAUGCAAGUCGAGCGGGGGAAGGUAGCUUGCUACCGGACCUAGCGGCGGACGGGUGAGUAAUGCUUAGGAAUCUGCCUAUUAGUGGGGGACAACAUCUCGAAAGGGAUGCUAAUAUCGCAUACGCCCUACGGGAGGAAGCACGGGAGCUUCAGACCUUGCGUUAAUAGAUGAGCCUAAGUGGCAUUAGCUAGUUGGACGGGUAAAGGCCUACCAAGGGGACGAUCUGUAGCUGGUCUGACAGAAUGAUCCGCCACACUGGGACUGAGACACGGCCCAGACUCCUACGGGAGGCAGCCGUGGGGAAUAUUGGACAAUGGGGGGAACCCUGAUCCAGCCAUGCCGCGUGUGUGAAGAAGGCCUUAUGGUUGUAAAGCACUUUAAGCGAGGAGGAGGCUACUCUAGUUAAUACCUAGGGAAAGUGGACGUUACUCGCAGAAUAAGCACCGGCUAACUCUGUGCCAGCCGCCGCCGUAA
rnacentral:rRNA from 1 species